AAGCAAACCGAACUAAAUCACAACCUUCUUAUGGUAAUUAAUGCAACUUAUUGAGGCAAACGACAAAACCAUACAGCAAAUGAACAAACCCGGUAUAUCGGUGGAACACCCUAUACAAUUGAGCGGGGAAACUUUGCGAGCAGGAAAAAUCCAAUACACUUACACACACACAUGCCAACCACAGUAAUACUUCUUUCUAUCUUCUACACACGAUGCACUCGCACACGAUACAGCAUGGGGCGGUUUGUAGCAGGAUCUACUGACCGGGCCAGGAUUGGUACGGCGGCACACUAAACACCAUGAACUAUAACACCGGAACAAUAAACAAAACAAAUGUUAAACCUUAAUAUAUAAAGCUACAUAUAUACACACAUAUAUAUAUAUACGCAACCAAUAACUAUUUCCUCAUAUUCUCUACACCUUCCUUUGUCCGUUGCUUACACUACACGAGCAUGUAUUGGUUCCGGUAAAGGCUUAGUAACUCGGCAUCAGGUUCGGAAACGGGCAUCACCACAGGUGGGCGAAAGGCGAAAGGCGAAAUUUACACCGUACGGAGAAGCGGUCGUAGAAUGAUUCACCUGCACCUGUCGAUAAGGCUAAGGUCAACAGCUCCACCCUGCGACCAUCCACAAUCUUCAAACUUCCUUCCCUAGACCAACCAACCACAAACGACCCGAUGCUCCCGCCCCACACAAAAGUACUAUUUAAUGUUAGUAAAUUCCGCCACGAAGAACGGAAAAAAAGGUUUAUGUUGGCUACAGACAGAAGCACGAAACGAAAUGAAUUACUUGCAAACUGCAACAAAAUCAUUCUUAAUCAUACAGACACCUUUUAAAUAAAGCGAAUAUUUUUUUUUUCCGAGAACAAACCAAUUUACAAAAGCCUUGGAUUAUCUCGAAACUGCUGAAGGAAUGCGAAUAAAACAACAACAAAAACGAAAAAAAGAAGAAGAAGGCGUUUAAAGACAAAAAUCAAAACCACACAACAAACUUAAUACACCUAGGCGUAAUACCUGCAAGUAAAACCCACAAAUACUAUCAACAAUCAAUUAGAUGUAACUGAUGAAACUAGCAACCUUUUAGUACUAGCGAUGCGCAAAGCACAGCAAACUGGUAAACAAGAGCAGCAAAUAAGACACACACAGACACACAUACACAUUUUUCAAGUGAGGAAGAACAAAUUAGAUUACUUAAAACCGGUACGACACGAAACGUAAACUUCGCCGCAUAAGCACAUUUCUAUCUUCACAUUUGGUGGAAAACAAUGAACAUGGGAGCGGUAGAAUUUGUAACAAUAUGCGCGUAUAAACCGUUCGGAUGUCUGGUUUUCGGAAGCAAACAAACAAAAUAGUUUAGCGUUUCCCUUCUAGCCAGACAUUGGAUAGUGUGAGGAUAGUGAAGCUAACCCCAUGCCUUGGCCGCCAGCUACCAAGGAAUCUAUUGCAGUUGUAUCUACAAAUUUAAAAAUAGGCAAGAAAGCGUCAGAAAAACCGCGUGUAUGCUACACCAUGAGCUGAUAACUCUGUAAAGCGAACGAGAGAGAGAGAGAGAGAGAGAGAGAGAGAGAGAGAGAGAGAGAGAGAGAGAGAGAGAGAGCAGAGAGGGAAAACAACCAGAAAGCUACACUUUGAAGGGGGAAAGUAGAGAUAUAAAGAUAAAUUAAAAAUUAUUUAGAUACCAAAACCUAGCGAUGCAGUAAACAAUGCAAGAAAUCCAAAAAGAAAAAAAAAACAAGAAGAUAGUCCGUGGGAAAUGAGUUAAGGAAAAUAAAAAAAAAAUAAAUUAAAGAAGAAGAAAGAAAAAAAACCGAAAACAUAUCAUACCUUGUAAUGCUGUUGCAAUCUAAUGAUAAAAAUCGAAUAGUUUUAAGGUUGCGCACUGGUGGAAGGCGUAGGACAUGGGCCGAACAGAACGCACGCAGGUGUGUAAAAGGGCGGAUGCAGGUUCGCAUCGGAGUGGACAGUCAAACCAAAGCCCAACAAAAACAGCGAAAUGGGAGCCCAGCUAAAAUCAUUCCAGGUGAGGUUAAGUUUAAAAAAUCGUACAAAACUGCUGAGACGUAUUUUCCCAACUCGUAUUAAAACAAAAAACAACCCAACAAUGAGGAUAAAUACACGCAAAAAAAAAUAAGAAAACAAACGAUCAAAGCAAAUCAAGGCCGCCAAUAGAGCAUAAACAAUUGCGAGUGCGCAACACAACAAAAAAAAGAAACCUCAUUUUACACCUACUACGCUCGGAGGGACUUUCAGCAUUGCCGGUGCGUUAUUUGUUUGCGUUAACUCCAUAAAGCCAACUGCAGCUGAUGGGCCAAAAAAAAAGGAAAUCGAAGCAAAGCAAAAAUCUAAACCAAAACACGAUAAUCAAUCACCAAUGUAACACCACAUGCAAAGUGCAAAAUCGCGACUGCGACAGUCGAACAAGCGGGAAACUCCGCGAUGAUCUUAGCAAGCUGUAAGUGGAACUAGUGAGAAAAUAAAUUUGGGCCCCUGCAGCGAGAUAGCGAGAAAGAGGGAGGAAAAGCAAAGGAGACUAUGUUAGAGAAAUAGAGAGAAAGAAUAGGCAGCAAACCACCACAAUCGACUGUCGACUGUGUCAAGAAAAUCAAGCUAUUUAAAUUGCGCCAAUGCUUUUACUUUUCGCGCGCGAUGAGACAAUUUAGAUGUACGAUCUUUUCUUUUCGUUGCUAAUGUAUUGCACCACAUUCUACUAUCUCUCUGUGGGACAUGAUGGAAGAAAUGCGUGCACAGGCACGGAGUAACAGCAGGACUUUGGCGAUGGUGUUAAGGUUGCGCGCAUAUCUACACCCGUAAGCCCACAGCCCAGUCAGCCACUGCUUGAGAUUUUCAUUCCCAUUGCGUGUUUGCUAUUACAAGGCCUGUGUGUAUAGCACGCCACUUGAUUUGAAAAACAAUAACAAAAAGGCACCGUCAUCGCUGUUCAAUUAUGUAGUCUUAUGUAUGAAUAUAUACAUACAUAUAGUAGUAUAUAUAUAUAUACACACAAAUAUGUAAGCAUGCAUUAUGGUUGGGCAAAUUGGCGUUAAAGUGGAUGGAGUGAAGGAUCGCGCAAGCAAACCCAGUAGCAACAAAGCAGCUAACAGCCACAAGCAACAAUUAUUAUAGAAAAGUAACAAAACAAACAAAACAACAACCAACAACAACAACAAACACACACACAUACACACGAAACAAACGCUCUUAACGCGCAUUAUUGUGAUGAUUUCCUUGAAGGUAACUGUUAGCAAACGGUUCCCUUCAACACAACUAGGACAUACAAACAAUUGUCGACAAGUAAGAAAGGUGUUUAAGCCCAGUAAACAACAAUCUCGCACGUAUGCAUCGCGCACAUGUACACAAAUACACACACCCACACAAACCCCCGCACACGCAUGCACUUACUUACAAUGGUGCAUCUAAUUGGGUGGUGCCAUAACGUACAGCAACACAGUGGCAGUCAUCGGUAGAUGGUGACCAUUCCUUGCGCACUCAACGCUCAUCGUGAUCGUGAUCAUCUCUCUAGUUCAAGUCGUAUGUCGAUGCAUCGCGUAGGUAUCGUAUCCUUUCUCGCGUAAAUAACCGUAGUCCCAACCCAAGUGAACAAGGGCCGCUCCCACCUUCCAUCCCCGCACCCCCCCACUUUUGGCUUAGCCACUUCAUUUUACACCAAACCCAAAUGGUGUGUUUGUGAGCGAAAAAAAACCUACCCCAUGCACGUGUUUAGUAGUAGUCUCAAAACCCUUGUUUUGUAAUGUAUUUUGUGUCAAAUGUAAUGUAUUGCACAUCCGAGCCCGCUAGUUUCAUGGUUGGAGCGAUUUGUUUCAAAUGGCUAAGUAAUGUAAGUGUCGUGCAAUAAGUUCUGUUAUCAUUCACGACAUGAGAUUCAUUUUGACUGCUACUGAGUUGCCACAAACACUCGUUUCCGAUGCACGUUGGGUACAUCCUCCCUGGCCAAUGAUUCACGUUGAAAAUGGACCAAUUUUCAAAUGAGAAAACAAAAAGUAUUAUAAAAGUAGAAGAAAAAAAAAUACAAAUACUAGACAAGUACAUUAAAUGGGCAAAUAGAGCACACAUGUUGCAUGAUCUUGCAGCACACUGCACUGCAAUGCAAACUGGUGUGGAAACGCAUACAUCAUACAUUUACAGCCACGUACACAAAGCGAUGCAUAAAAUACGCUAGCUCCGUGGGACAAAGUAUUAACAAUCGAAACAAAAAAAGACGAUACUUCGGACAUAAAGGACAUCCACAAAUUCCUUCAUUGCCAGUGGGUUUAGACAGUAUAAGUGAGAUCGAUUGCGGUUCGAAAAAUGGUCGAUAAUGCCCCCAAACUGAACGCAUGUAAAGGUAAACGUGAAAUGUGCUGUGCGUAAACUACAUUGCUUCCAAUACAAUUAUACCUUCAAUGUUGCUUGAUCCUUGGAUAUUUGCAUCUUCUUACAGUACGUAUGUACGGUCACGGUAUGUUUGGAGUGAUUGAUGUUUUAUGGCUUGACUUACCUAAAACAUGAAAAAUCAGAUAAAUAUUCGUUUGUAUAAUAUGUCAACAAAAAAAACGUUCACGGCAACACUUACCCAUACCAGCCGAUUGAAUGUGUGUUUGCUCCUUGUUGCACUAUCCGUUGUACCGGAUGUUGAGUGCCACCACUUUCUAGCAACAUAAUACGUGUACUGUUCGGUUUUCGCAUCAUUCAUGCGUUCACUUUUUCUUCUGUACACUUGAAUCACUUUCACUACACUACCUUCAAUGCGAUUGCCACUACCAGCCGACUGAAUGUUUGUUUGCUUCUUGUUGCACUAUCGGUUCUACCGGAUGAUGAGUGCCACCACUUUCUAGCAACAUAAUACGUGUACUGUUCGGUUUUGGCGUUCACUUUUUCUUCUGUACACUUGAAUCACUUUCACUACACUACCUUCAAUGCAAUUGCCACUACCAGCCGACUGAAUGUUUGUUUGCUUCUUGUUGCACUAUCGGUUCUACCGGAUGAUGAGUGCCACCACUUUCUAGCAACAUAAUACGUGUACUGUUCGGUUUUCGCAUCAUUCAUGCGUUCACAUUUUGUUCUGUACACUUGAAUCACUUUCACUACACUACUUUCAAUGCGAUUGCGAGAAAUUAUUUACCCCACGCUAACGAUAAAUCGGACCAACAAAAUGGGGUCGCUCCUUGUCAUUUUGACAAGCGUCGGCUGUCAAACGUUUGUUUACUUACUGCACACUAGUCGUCAUUCGGACGUUGCACAUUCAGUGCUGAAGCCAUUCAUAAAAUUACCGCUUCUUCCGUGAAAAAGUGCUGCUUUCAUUUCACGUUUAUCAAAUCUACCUGGUCAACGCCAUGAACCGCUUCUACUAACCACAGAAAAUAUCUGGCUCAAGUGUUUCGUACGGAGGAAGGAUAAACUAAAACAACGGAACCACCACGGCAAACCGGUUCCGCUAGGCAAAGUUACAUGGUGGUUUUGAGAAGUAAUCGAAGUAGGCGCAAGCAGCAGAAGCAGAAGCAAGAGCAAUGGCUGCGCUAUUGGUAUCUGGCCUUCCGUAAGGCUAUGUGCACAAUGCAACACAAGAGAAUAGUACGGGCUACGAUUUUUCCAAAUCAAAUAGUGACACAAUGCGUGACAUAAUGCAGCACACCACCGGCAACCCGUAUUCGUCGAGCGGGACUAGCCGGCACUAUGUAAAGCACGUAUUACCAGGAAUAGAAGGCAAAUACCACUACCAGUUACUACACACGUGUUGCAUUCAUUUAUAUACUCAAAAAUGUACUACUACUACCGUCUUUUUACCAUUUGAUUUGCUCCCAAUGUAAAACGAGUAGUAACGUCAAAGUAACGAGUAAUCCUGCAACGAAUUCAACAUACAUGUUUCAUAACUAGGAUCGCUUUAAUAGUACAGUGAGUAAACAGUAUAAGUAAACUGGAAAAGGAAAAAAAAACGAAGAUAAAAUAAAGUUUCGAUCCCAUUUGAUCUAC